rnacentral:lncRNA from 1 species
ACCUCGAGGGUUUGGCGGAAGUUGGGCAGCUCUGUCCCUCACGUUAAUGAAGUCUCAAUGAACUGAAACUUGUUCAGGUAUGGCAGCAGGAAAGUCGAGCAGCAGCUGUGAGUGAAAGAGGGAGUCCGUUGGCCGAAGGAAACUCGCCUGCUCUUCCGUGAACUCGUGUGUGAAGAAUGAAGGAAAUGGCGUGUUCUUGGCUGGAGUUGAAGCGAUUAUAGGGAGAUGUUGGCUGCAUACUUGAGUAUGCUAGAGACAAGGUAUAUGGUAGGGUGAAGGUGAUUGGAGGAGUGGGCGGCUGGCAACUGCUAAGGAGUAGGGGUAGGGUGUAGGGAGAAGGGGAUUGGUG